UGGGGAAUAUUGCACAAUGGGCGCAAGCCUGAUGCAGCCAUGCCGCGUGUAUGAAGAAGGCCUUCGGGUUGUAAAGUACUUUCAGCGGGGAUGAAGGGAGUAAAGUUAAUACCUUUGCUCAUUGAUGUUACCCGCAGAAGAAGCACCGGCUAACUCCGUGCCAGCAGCCGCGGUAAUACGGAGGGUGCAAGCGUUAAUCGGAAUUACUGGGCGUAAAGCGCACGCAGGCGGUUUGUUAAGUCAGAUGUGAAAUCCCCGGGCUCAACCUGGGAACUGCAUCUGAUACUGGCAAGCUUGAGUCUCGUAGAGGGGGGUAGAAUUCCAGGUGUAGCGGUGAAAUGCGUAGAGAUCUGGAGGAAUACCGGUGGCGAAGGCGGCCCCCUGGACGAAGACUGACGCUCAGGUGCGAAAGCGUGGGGAGCAAACA
rnacentral:rRNA from 1 species